rnacentral:lncRNA from 1 species
GACGGGGUCGGGUUUCGGGGUUAGAUUUGGACAUUUUAGAGGUGAAGGAACUUAGUGGAGCAUAGCUUGAAUUGAAGGAAUGACAGGGCAGAUCUGGUGUUGUACGCCAAGGUUACGACUUUCUGAGAAAUGCACCAAGUACAACACCAAUAAAUAAAACCCAGAGAGAGAGAUGGAGGGUUUUCUGGAAAAAAUCCCAAAAGUGAGGUUUUCGGCUCUUGGGUUUUGCAGAUUCAUGGCGGAGGUGAAAAUUUGAGAGAGAACUGACAUAGCUUUUAAUGUCGGUUCCCACAAACGGUGCCAAAUGUUGAUGCACAAAACCGAAGGGGUCUUGGAACAACGUAAAUCCAACCAUGAAUCUGCAAGAAAGUAAAUAACACAAGAUGUAUCGUGGUUCACCCCAAUGUUUGGGCUACGUCCAUACUGAUUGUAUUUCUCUGACUAUAUGUAUGAAUUACAAGGGUGAGGGGGAGUCCCCCAGAGAAAGAGAGAGUUUGAGAGGGCUCUCUGUUUUGUGAGCAUGAGAGCUUGAGAGAGAUAAGCUUUGUGAGGGUGAGAGGGCUUGAGGUUUGUGAGGAUGAGGAGGCCCUUUUAUAGAAUAAGGGCUCCUCCCCUUUUUACAUAUUUGCCCCACCAUUUAUUACAUAAUUACAUUUGAGUCCCCCAAGUAUUUAUACGAGGUCUAAAUACGGAGGCCCUAAGUAUGGUACAAACAGUUUCAUUCAUGAUCAUUGUUCUCUCGAAUAUCCUUAAAACUCAACGACGUUCUUCCGAAACAGGGAGAAUAUAAGGUCUCUUAAAUGGUAAUAUAGUACCACUCAUACAACGAUAAGCGUGCCUAUGCUCUUAAUCAAGUUGGAUAGACCUGAAGUCGUUGCUAAAGAUGUGAUUUAGGUAUAAAGUUAGUGUGCAUAGUAUCGCAUUCAUUCAAACAACUAACUUUUCCACAUUCGUACCUAAUCACGUGUUUAAUUGAAUUCAAUCACAUGUAUAAAGAAACAUGAUUCAAUUAACUGAUAUUCAAGGGCAAUAUCAAUAAGAUUAUCCAUAACUAAAACAAACACCAAACUUGAAUUCAAGAACAUAGAAAAUGUUCACAAAGUAAAUGGUUUACUAAAGGGCUUCUCGUCCAUGUCAAAAUUUUGCUCUUCCAAUUGUGUUCGGUGGAGCAAAGUUAGUCCCACAUAUUGACUACAAGAAUGGUACUCCUCAACGACAUUAGUAGGGGCAAGAACAGGUGCAUAACCAAUGAUCUCUUCCAUCGAGAUGGAAGUAGAUUCUACAAGGUUGAGUGAUGCGUUAAAAGUUAACACACAAAUUAAACCCUCUUGUUGUCAAAUUGUAGUAUAAAUGCAAGUAGGGAUUGUUCUAAACCGAGGAUUAAGAGGGUUUGCUAAAACCUCUUAACUGAUUCAAAAACAUAAAAACGAAGUUGAAAACGUUAGAAUAGACUCAAAGGACUCAAAAUAGGUUCAUAAGACUCAAAACAACUUAAAAACACUCAAAACAGCCUAAAAACACCAACUAGGCAGUUUCUGACUCUAAACACAACUUUGGACGAAUUUAGGGUUUUGGCUUGACUCAAAACACUCAAAAACACAAACAAAACAGAUUCUAACUAAUUAGACACUCUAAAGUAAAGGGGGAUUGGGUUUUGGACGAAAAUAAAGUAAAAACAAAACAGAAACUAGAACUAGACAGAUUUGCAUGAAAUUGGGGAUUUGAAUGGAUGAUUGGUUAGCUAGAGUUCAUUCUCCACACAUGACACACUUGCAUACAAAUUGAUGUUCAGUUGUUCUUUCGAUAAACCAUAAACCUCAAUGCCCUAGAUUAACCGUGAAUUGCACUAAUUAACCCUCAGAUUUUCCUAGUUUCAUUGAAUUGGAUGAUUGCAUGCGACAACCCAAAUUAUUCCUCACAAGUUCCCUACAUGAAUUGCAUAAUAGAGAUACGAACAAGGAUCAUUAAAUUCUAUGAAAAUCAUAAGCAUUGACAAGGCACUUGUAAUUAUGAAUUGCAUGAUACUUAUGCCAGGAAUUUACUUAACACGAUCGUCACUAGCAACCUCCACUACUUGUGAAUAUAAGUUCAUAAUGAUUAGGUGAAACUCCCUUAUAUUCUAGCGUCAAAUUCAUGCAUGCAAACUAAGUGCCAACCCUCUAUCAACAUACAAGAAUAAGUUAUCAAUGAAGACUUUAAGUAAAUUGCAUUCAAGGUUUAUGAAAUCACAACUGAAAGUAAUCAAUUCAUAUUGCAAAUAUAUUCAUGGCUUUGAAUUCCCUCUAGCAAAAACGGGUUUAGCCACUCAUGUUCAUAGAACAAAGAUUAUUAAACUUAAAUAUUGAAAACAAAGAAUGAAAACACCUAAAAACGCUUCAACAAUCCAAUCUUGAAUGGCAAGCAUGUCCAAGGGUCUCCUUCCUUCUCCUUUGCUGUGGCACAAGGGUUGUGAGAAUGGAUGAGUGGUGAAUUAUGGUGGUGGAUGGAUGUAGGUGAAUUAUGGUGAAGGGUGGAACGGCUGAAAAGAAGAGAGGAGAGCCCUAAAGGGUGCGGCACUAUGUAUUUAUAGGGGAGAAGGCACAUUUUUGAUGUGUUUUAGGGAAAGAAAUAACUUAGCUAUUUUGUCUUAUAAUUAAAAGUCAGAAAUCAAUGGAAGAUAGGCAAGUAAGGUGCAGGAAUUAAAGAGAAUAGGAAAGGAAAUUCGGCAGAGAGUAUAAGACAGAUUUAGGAAUGUGUUUUGAGGCACAAAAUAGGUAAGAAUCCUCUCCCCUUGUGCGACAAGAAUUGAAACAAAAGUGAAUGUAAUUUUGGGUCAGAAAAUAGGUAAGAAAGAGGGAUAUGUGUGGAAAAAUGGAGGAUCAAAAUAGGAAUGUGGUUUUACGAACAUAAAAUAGGAAAGGAGAAGAUGUUUUGUGUGGCAAGGAAGGAUCAAAUCAUAGAGAGGUGCGGCAUGGACUUUUAGGGCAUGUUUAGAACUUCUAGAACAAGUUAUUAGGUGUCCUAACAUCUUUUGGAAACUUCUUUGUAGCUGGAACUUAGGGACAUUUAGGAUUAGGAAAGUGUUGGAAAUGUGCCCUAAAACCAAUCAUAUGAUGAUACUUUAUGGACAUUUCACAUGUUAAACUAAUCUAGUUUAAUAUCAAGGGUAAAGAUUAUUGUUUGAGCCGUCUCAUAUAAAUGUUAUACGCUUAAACGAUAAGUCCAAGGAAUAUGUGAUUGGGAGAAUGCGAUCUAAAGAAGUUAGAUUCAUGAGACCAUUCUUUCGUAGACACAUCCUAAACGUUCCUGAUCAUAGGAUUGCCAAUUGGGCAUUGACAGUCCGUUAAGAUCAAUACAUGUUGUGUCUUCUCUUAGGGAAAGUGACUAGUCUCGAGUCAUUGGUGUGUGUGACAUCAAGACAAGCAUGUAGGUGCUCAAUAAUAAAUGAGUCCACUGAACACGAUCAACGAGGAGUUCUCAUACUCAUGUCACAUGAGAACUCAUGGUUAGGAUAAUGCAAAAUAGUCCUUUGACCUGAGGCAUCAUAGUUGUCUUGUGGUUAAGUCCUUGAUCUUUGAUUAUGUCAAAGUCA